AUUGAACGCUGGCGGCAGGCCUAACACAUGCAAGUCGAGCGAGUGGCGGACGGGUGAGUAAUGUCUGGGAAUCUGCCCGCUGGAGGGGGAUAACUACUGGAAACGGUAGCUAAUACCGCAUACUAUCGGAUGUGCCCAGAUGGGAUUAGCUAGUAGGUGGGGUAAAGGCUCACCUAGGCGACGAUCGCUAGCUGGUCUGAGAGGAUGAUCGGCAACACGGGAACUGAGACACGGCCCAGACUCCUACGGGAGGCAGCAGUGGGGAAUAUUGCACAAUGGGCGCAAGCCUGAUGCAGCCAGGCCGCGUGUAUGAAGAAGGCCUUAGGGUUGUAAAGUACUUUCAGCGGGGAGGCGUUACUCGCAGAAGAAGCACCGGCUAACUCCGUGCCAGCAGCCGCGGUAAUAC
rnacentral:rRNA from 1 species